rnacentral:tRNA from 1 species
AAAGAAUYAAUUUAAAAAAAAAAAAAUAUAUAUUAAUAUGUCGUAUYRAAAUUGUUAAAAAUUAACAUUCUUUU